GACGAACGCUGGCGGCGUGCUUAACACAUGCAAGUCGAACGGAAAGGCCCUGCUUUUGUGGGGUGCUCGAGUGGCGAACGGGUGAGUAACACGUGAGUAACCUGCCCUUGACUUUGGGAUAACUUCAGGAAACUGGGGCUAAUACCGGAUAGGAGCUCCUGCUGCAUGGUGGGGGUUGGAAAGUUUCGGCGGUUGGGGAUGGACUCGCGGCUUAUCAGCUUGUUGGUGGGGUAGUGGCUUACCAAGGCUUUGACGGGUAGCCGGCCGGAGAGGGUGACCGGCCACAUUGGGACUGAGAUGCGGCCCAGACUCCUACGGGAGGCAGCAGUGGGGAAUAUUGCACAAUGGGCGGAAGCCUGAUGCAGCAACGCCGCGUGCGGGAUGACGGCCUUCGGGUUGUAAACCGCUUUCGCCUGUGACGAAGCGUGAGUGACGGUAAUGGGUAAAGAAGCACCGGCUAACUACGUG
rnacentral:rRNA from 1 species